AAAAGAACAACGCAUUAUGAACCCUCACGUAAAAGCAGUUGCGUCUUGAGAUGCCCGCCGCCCUCGUGGCGGUGUGAGGCUCCAUGAAAACGGAACCCGUCUGUUGAGUGGAGAGAAACUCUAAUAGCCGAUCUUGGGUGCGGUCUCUCCCUGCCCUUUGGGCAGUGGGGGAGAGCGCAAUGAUCGGCCGUACAU
rnacentral:sRNA from 1 species